AUGAAGUAGGAGUUGCUAGUAAUCCCGAAUCAGCAUGUCGGGGUGAAUGCGUUCCCGGGUCUUGUACACACCGCCCGUCACGCCAUGGGAGUUGGGAGUACCCGAAGCCUGUGAGCUAACUUAAAGAGGCAGCAGUCGAAGGUAGAGCCAAUGAUUGGGGUGAAGUCGUAACAAGGUAUC
rnacentral:rRNA from 1 species